rnacentral:snRNA from 1 species
AUCGCUUCUCGGCCUUUUGGCUAAGAUCAAUUGUAGAGUCCCUACGAAGCUUGCUUCGAGGGCGCUAGGGUCGACCCGGUAUUGCACUAUUUCCGGGAGUGGCCCGUCCCCU